AGAGUUUGAUCAUGGCUCAGAACGAACGCUGGCGGCAGGCCUAACACAUGCAAGUCGAGCGGGGGGAGCAAUCCCUAGCGGCGGACGGGUGAGUAACGCGUGGGAACGUACCCUUUGCUUCGGAAUAGCCCCGGGAAACUGGGAGUAAUACCGGAUGUGCCCUACGGGGGAAAGAAUUUCGGCAAAGGAUCGGCCCGCGUUGGAUUAGGUAGUUGGUGGGGUAAUGGCCUACCAAGCCGACGAUCCAUAGCUGGUUUGAGAGGAUGAUCAGCCACACUGGGACUGAGACACGGCCCAGACUCCUACGGGAGGCAGCAGUGGGAAUCUUAGACAAUGGGCGCAAGCCUGAUCUAGCCAUGCCGCGUGAGCGAUGAAGGCCUUAGGGUUGUAAAGCUCUUUCGUGGGGGAAGAUAAUGACGGUACCCCAAGAAGAAGCCCCGGCUAACUACGUG
rnacentral:rRNA from 1 species